CCUGCCCAUUGGCGCGCGGGCCCCGCCCCUGCCCGGCGCCGGGCUGCUGGGCUGAUUCCGCGUGUAACGGGCUCAGGCCCAGUAAGGGCUGGGCGGAGGCAUUUCUUCUGCCUACUUUGCCGAGGGCGACACUCGGUUGGGCCACCUGAACCCCCAGAGUCCCCGCAGGUUGCUAGGCAACCCCGGAAGCCCCAGGGACGUAGUAGGGCGAGGACCUAAGGUGGCGAAAGCGGAUGCAGCGGGUGUCAAAACUGGCUUUCAGCUCCAACUCCACCUCCACAUUUACAGGUUCCUGGGUUCCUCUGACUGCAAGUUGGGAAGAAAGAUAAUAGCGUAAAGGAAAAAAGUGUUGCGUGCCAUUCCAGUUCUACAAGGAUCAAGCCAUUAGCCACUGCAAUUGACCACCAACAGUGUGCCCCGAGGGGAAUUCAGGAUGGAGGAAAACAGGAAACUUUGUGUACUUCGGAUAUACUGAUCCUUAGAUAGAAAGAAACAUUUGAGGUAUACACAAGAAACUAAUGAAAGAGAACAGAGAAUAGUAUACACAAAAGUACCCAUACAGAAAAGCAUACAGCUCAAUAAAUUUUCGGAAAUUGAACACCCCCAUAUAACCAGCACCCAGAUCAAGAAACAGAACAUUACCAACACCCUAGGAGACCCGCUUGUGCUCCCUUCCAAGCACCACCCUCUUCCUAAAAGCUCAGGGAGGGCAUAUGGUUUCCAAGAGAAGUGAACAAUUUGUCAAAGGAAAGUGCACGACCUAAGACAAGAUUUAUUCCGUGGAGGCAAAUCUCAAUCCAGACAACCAACUGUGCAAAAGGUACCCGGCCAACUAAGAGACAAUUAUGAGGAUUCCUGAGUCUCACUGGCCACUGCAGGCUGUGUGUUCCCAAGUUUUCUGAAACUCCCAUACCAUUAUUUGACCUGCCCAAGUCUCUGGUAACCAAACCUUUUCUCUGAGAACAAACAUGAACUUGUUUUUUGUGAGUUGAAAUGAGGUGUUCAAUACCCUCCUACUCGGGGCCUAACUAAACAUCAUAAGCCUUUCAACCUAUAAGUAAAUCAGAGAUCUCACUAAGCCCUUAACUUCAUGAGAAUAAAGACUAAUAGCUUAGCCUCUCUUGUGAUCUAAUGGCAAGAGCUUCCCACUUUGUUAAGGGGCAGCAGCUAAACAAAUAGUCUCCCAUUGGCUUGGCUUUAGAGUCUCCUUUAAACCAGAUGGUCCCUCGUGCUGUACCAUCUUUCUUGCUCCCUGAAAAUACACAUUUCUCAUUAAGUCGAUUUACCUCCUGCGAACUUCCUUCUUUUCUCUGAGAUGCUACAAAGAUUGUCAAGGCAGUGCUCUCCCUCACUGUGGUAAGCAAUGAACUCAGCUUCACCUGAUCAGCAAGUUAUUUCGGUAGCAUUUCUGAGCUGGCAAA